rnacentral:tRNA from 2 species
CGGCCGCGAUGGCCAGCGCCACCAAGGGGUAAGGCUUCCGUGCCAGGUCCCGGAAGCCCGUGCGGGCUGCGGCAGGUUCUGUUCCUGCCGCCGCCGG